AUUUAAAUAAUUUAAUUAAAAAUAUUGAUUUGUGGUAUCAAAAAUAUGAAAAUUCAUUUUAAGUC
rnacentral:tRNA from 1 species